UCUCUCUCUUUCUCCCCCCUCUGACUCUCCCUCUCCACUGCUCCUCUCCCCUCCCUCGCGGUCACCGGCAACUGGAGCACCAAUUAACCUCGUUGUUGGUCACUGUCGCCUGAGAUCCAUCACCCAUGGAAGCUCGAUCAGAGGCUCCUUCCUUGCAACUCCUCGCAUUGCAAGAAUCGUUUGAGAGGAAGAAAAAAAAUGGCGUUGGCAAAUAGGGAAAUCUUGGUGUAUUGCUUUGACACCCUGGUUGCUCACUACCCCUGCUUUCGAUGACGACCAACAGUACGCUAUCUCUCAAGGUUUGAGCUUCACUGAAGCUGAGAGAAGAUUGAAGGAAAAUGGCCCGAUAUUCCUCUAGAAUAUACUUUUCCAAGUUGGUGGCAUCUUCUAUGGAGUGCCUUUUUUCACCCUUUCAAUAUUAUUUUGAUUGUAUUGUCAGCCCUCUCGUACUUAGCUAGUGACAGUCCCAAUGGAUGCAUCAUGCUCGUGUUGGUCUUCAUAAGCGUCUCUCUCCGAUUUUACUAGGUAUAUUUUUCCUUUAGUUAUUCCAAUCAGAAUGAUCCUAUACAUAUUCAUUUCUCAGGCAUUUAAUUAUUGUAUUCUCCAUCUAACAAUCUUACUAAAAAUACAAGACGGCAAAUGUAAUUGGUUGUCAAAAAAGCAUUGACAUUUAAACAUCCAAUGAUGUUCGGACAUGUAUGUUUUUAGUAAGAUUGUUAGUAAGAUUUUAAGCAGAUGUAGCAUUACUCUAUGCAAAGUAAGGAUUUCAGAAUGUUAGU